UCACCCACUGCAUGAGAGACAUGAAUUGAACUGGGAGUGGGGUAUACCUCCUUUCUUUUAUCCCAGCUCUGAAAAAUGGGCCUGGGGUUUCUGUUCUGUCUUAUUUGUGUUUCUCAGUUUCAGGUGCCAUGGUGAUCCUGCAGAACUUGAAUGUUCAAGAUACGGCAACCUUGGAGCCAGGAUUACAGUACAGAUAGGAUGAUGUGGCCAACAAUCCUGCUAAUCCUGUCAGUGGUAAGAUGGAGCUGGGGAGCAGAAGACCCAGCCCUAUGAUUGAGGGAGCACCACUAGUGGAGGCUGGAGCCAUUUGCAGAGACCCAGACACUCUAAUCCCCCUUGAGGACACUGAAGAACCCUCGGUGAAAUAUAACACGGUGGAUCUUAAGCGGGCGCCAGGGUGGCGUCACAUAUCGUUUUCCUGGUUUGGCUCGCUUAACUCUGCAUCAGUCCAUGCCAGCACAAAAGAAUGGCUCCUGCCACAAAGAUCCAGCCUUACAAAAGCCUCAGCCAAUCAAAUCAUAUGGAAGGGAAACCCAGUCACUGAAAACUAAUGAGGAGUUGACUUUGUCUUCUGAACAGGGUGCCAAUGCACAUAUCCAUAUUCUAAAGGAAAGAAAUAUAUCCAUCAAACUGACACAAAGGGGAACUCCCCUGAUCCAGUGCCCUUUACCCUGAUGAUGAUAUGGUUUAGUUCUUCCCAUGCUAAUCCAAUUUGUUGAUCAUUGGAUAAGGAUUUCACAUUUAGGAUAUCAAGUUACAUUAAUGUCUGGCCUAAAAGAUGACAUAAAACUGUGAUUCUCUGUACCCUCAGCCCCCAUUUCCACCGUUUUGCUACCAUCCCUGCAGAAUCAAUAGGAUCAAGGGCCAUUUUUAAUUUUUCUUUGUUUUGUGGGUUGCCACAAUCAAAGAAUCCAUCAUGCAAUGAUGAUGAGCCUCUCUUUACGUAGCCAGGCUGGUUACUGGACAGCAAUGGAACCACGCUCAAACCCUUGUUACAACCUGUUAGAACCUGCCUGUGGUCUGUUGGAAACAGCGUUGUAGAUAGAUUGUAGAGAGAAGGCACAGGAGGCAAGAAACACAGUUAGGACGCUACAACUGAGAGGUAACAAGACCCUGAACUAGGACAGUAGCAGUGAAAGCAGAAAGACAGGGAUUGAUAGAAGACCACGUGGAAGCACAAUUGCUAGGUCUUGGCAACUGAUUGAUUUGUACAGUAUGUUACACAAAGCAGUCACCUUGUGCAAGUUGCUUGACUGAAUUAAGUUUAAAAGAUCACAGGGCAUCUGGAAGUAGGAUGAGUCAAAGAUAAAGAAAACAUUUGAAACAUAGGUGACUGGGAAAACAACGGUGCCCAGAACAGGGAAUUGAGGAGGCACAGGUUUUGGUGGGAGGGUAAGCUGAAUUUUGGAUGUGUUGAGUUGAAGUGACAACAGGACAUUCAGGUGUAAAUAUUCAGUGGAUAAUUGGAGAAAAGGGACUGGAGCUCUGGAGAGGUAUCAGGGCUACCAUAUACUUUUAGGAGUCAUUAAAAAGAGAUGAUAAUGAAAAUCAUUCACCAAAAGGUUAUGAAUUCUGCUUCUGUACCUUUAUUUAUUUCAUUCCCUGGACAUUACUGCUUCUACGCCUGUUGGAAAUGCAUUUCUUCUACACAUAUUAACCUGUUGAAAUCCUCCCAUUUUACAAGGCCCCAGUUAAAAUGUUUUUCUUAAUCCAUUCAAUUAAAGUGAUUUCUCCUUCCUCCAAUUCUCAUUAUGUACUUUGUUUUUUAACUCUCCUAUUUACUUAUUGCAUUCUUAUUUUGCUUGACUAUGCAUAUUUGUUACAAAGGUUGGUUUUGUGGGUU